GAAUAAUCAGCCUGCUUCAAUAAUGAAUAGCCUCACCCUUUGAUUUAUUCAGUAUCUAGCCGUAUCCUUGCUUAAGAAACCCAGGGGCUAAUCUUGAAAUAAACCGGGCAUGAAUUUGAGAUUGUGGAAUCCUACAUUCUCAGAAAAAUCACUGAGGGGGGUUAAUCCAUAAGCUAGUUGCAGUCAUGGUGAUGCCAGCCAGACCUCCAGGUGAUCCGUUACUGAAGAUAGCCAUCAGAGUAAGACAUGCAAACCUGCACCCUGCACCACUCCUGCUCAUAGUUUCCAUGCCUCCUACUUCUUAAAAUCCCUUUAGCUAGCCUAAAAUUUUGAAAUAGUCUUUGAGGCGCUAGUCCACCAUCUCCUCAGGUUGCUAGCUCUUGAAUAAACCUGCUUUUCCUGCACCAACUCUUGUCUUGCAAGUCUUGCUUUUGAGCAGUGAGCAGUGAUCAGCUGACCCUUAGUUUGGUUACACUAUCACUCAGGAAAUUCCAAGCAUUUUAGAAGGUCUGUGGCAGGAACCAGGAACUAAGUUCAAAUUUAUUUUUUAUUAUACCACAGGUCCCAACUCCCAUGACUACCUGGAUGGUGACAAAGACGAAUUAUCUCUUCAUCCUUCUUUCUCACUCUAAAUAUACACAGACAUGCUAUUAGGAGGGAAAACUUUCCCUCUACCAACUUUGGUUCAGUGGGUGGGAGCCUGUGAAUUAACUAUAGACAGGUUAGCAGGGGGAAAGAAAACAAGUUGUAUUCAUAACUUGUGGAAGCAUUCAGAUGAAGAGGCUUGAUGAAGAGCUAGAGACAGAAGUUUAGUUAUCAACUCAUAGGGGAAAAGAAGGAGGGAGAAAUGACUUCUAUAGGAAAACAAAUGACUUUUGGGAAAGACAAAUAGAAGCUUUGGAUAAAGUUUUACACAAUUUUCUUGGAAUAUCUCCUGUCUGGGUGAAGUAAUCCUCACACGGUUAACAAGAAUCCUGGACAAAAAUAUAAUUAUGAGUAAGUGUUAAUCAGGCUACACUUUGACCCACUUCCUUGUAACCAAAACUCACGAACACUAGCUACUGAUAAUUUGCAUUCUCAUUGUUCCCAUAGAUAAGAUCUUUGACAUUAGAAUCAUAAGGCUUUUGUUUAAGAAUUGUUUAUGCAGAUCCUGAAUUCCGGCAGAACAGCUGACACCACCAACUUUAAAGAGCCCAACUGAUGAACUGAUCAGCAUGAGAAUACUGUUUUUUCAUCUCUCUGUCCCAUGACUUCACUCUGCAUUCUUCAACCAAUUAGUGAUCUCUUAUUUCCACCUACUCCAAAUCCUUAAAAACAACAGCCUCAAACUCUUUGAGGAAAUGGAUUUGAGGUUUCCUUCCAUCUUUUGGUUCAGCAGCCCUGCAAUUAAACCUCUUUCUCUGCUGCAACCCAGUGUCUUGGCAUAUUGACAUGCUGUGCACAUCAGGCAAAAGACCUAUUACCAUUACAUGAGGACCCCUCCGGAGGGAGAUAAUGGUGGGGGCAUUUCUGGGAGGCUCUGCUUUAGUCAGGUGAGAGAAGUUCAGGGUGCACGUGUUGCCGCAGGAAUCGCUGGUACAUGCCAUCCUGGCCAUAGGAGGGCUGGACCAGCCCCAGCCCCAGCAGGGUCAGCAGCAAAAGCAGAAGCAAUGAAUGGGUCCUCUGCAGAGCCAUCAGUAUCUUAGAGGUGCCUAGAAAAGAAAGCAAGGGGCAGGAGAAAUAAGGUAAGAACUGGGCACUGGAAAAAGGUGUUGAGAAUAGCAAGCCGGCAUCCUGACUCCAUAGUCUCCUCUUUCCUCCUUCUUAUAUGCACCAUCUCCCCACUCAUCUCUGCUACUUUUCCCACCCUUCUUCCUCAAGAGUGAGUAGUUUGCAAACAUGAUCUUUUCUGAAAGCAAGACCUUUCUCAUUUACAGAGAGAAGUUGCUGUGGCCAGUACAAUGACACAGGGCAGGGACUGACUGCGUGGCUGCCAGGUUUGUGUGGACAGAGUAUAAAAAGAGAGAAAAGGUGAACCUACAUGAAACUGCAGUUGUGUGUCUCUUGGGGGAACUCCGUAGGUGUAUGAUCUUUGGGGAGUGUUUGGUUCCCGGGAGGCUCCAAUUCCCGACAGUUUGGAUAGACUCAGCAUACGUCACAGAAAGUUUACAAACUACUUUUAAUACCUUACAUCUGGGAAUCUAGGUGGAGGAAGAGGACAGAGGAAUAUUUAGGCUUUGCCUUUCCUCUCACAUGACUAUUGUUUUUCUUUGUCAUUAAUUUUAUUAUUUUUCUUUUCUUUUUUGUCAUGUGGCUAUUAUUCUAAUGUGAUUUAAAAUCUAUUCUAAUUCUAGAAUAAUAUAUGUUAUACAUUAAUUUAAAAUGUAUUAUUCUAAUUCUAAUGUAAAAUCAGGUCCUUUUGGAAAUCCUUUUAAUUCUAUUUUUUAAAAAAAAGCAAAACCAGAAUACCCAGUUACAGUUCUUAGAAGACAGUUGAUAAUAGCUACUGUUUGAAUGAACUAAUAAGUGAAAUGAGUAAGCUAAUGAACAAAUGCAAUUAAAUGGAUAGAGUAAAGAUGUUUCCCAGGCUUAUGAAAUUGACUAAUAAGAAAAGCUAAGAAAUGUUUAAAAAAUAAAUUUAAACAGCACAAUAUUCUCAAAAGAAAACUUGGAUUGUGUCUUCUUCUCCUUGCUGUUUCUAUGCAUAACCUAAAAAAUCUAGGCCAUGGAGAUACAUUGCUUUGUCUUGCAUCUAUUCUUGAUGUUCCUUCUGUCUUGUCAAUAGUUGUUGGUAGCUGUCUGUCUUCUCUGGUUGCAGCAUCAUUGUGUUGUCACCUCUUGGCAGUGAAAAAUAGGCAUAUAUUUUAUAGCAUUAAAAAAAAAAGCCAGAGUGGCAACAAAAAAAGCAUUGCCAUGUAGUUUCAGAACAUUCAUUGCUUUCAUUGACAGAUUAAAGAAAGGAAUCCAGGCCUAUCUUAGUCUACACCCUGUGCUCUUUCCACUAUCUACUGCCUCUCUCAUCCCACACCCAAAAUAUUCAGGAUAUCAAAGACAUUUAUGCUCAGAAUUGCUACUUCCCAGCAGCAGAGUUUAAUCAAGACUGGAGGUGGACUCACUCACCAACUGACUAGCCAGAUGCUGCCAUCUGGCCGUCACUCCUGGAAUUGAUGUGAAUUGUGAAUCGGCUUGAUUCUUGCAGUGUAGCAGGGCUGAUUCACUACAGCAAAGAAAAAUCAUCCCUGAUUCAAUAGGAAGUGAGCAACGCAAAUUAGCAAGGGCAAUGUUUUGAGAGUCAGGCAGCCCAACUCUGUAUGUGCAGUCCAAGGACUGACCCCAGUUGAACUCCUAGUUUGAUGUAUAUGGGUACUAUUGUCUUUUGAUUUCAAAUUCUGCUUCGUAAUGGUGGAUCACACUGUGUGAAUGACUGAAAUGGCUUCCAAACGACCUGUACCUUACUUUGUUCUGCUGAAAGGCUACCUUUUCAUUAUUGAUAAUGAAAGCAGUAUCAAACAUGGAUAUUGUUCUUUUAAAUGCCACCUCCUAUAUCCAUAGCCAUCUUUUGCCUUUGCACAUAAAGAUAUCAAGCUGUAUGUCAUAUCUGUGUGCCUGCAGCUGUAGAUGUGAGAUACAGUGUUAGGAAGAGAGGGAAGUAAAGAGGUUGUGGGAGGAAGGGCAGAUGUUUGAUUUCCUUUUUGCCCCAAGAACAAUGCAUACAACUUCUGAAGGUAUACUUAGUACUUGGAUUAUAGCUUCAGCAGAUCAAUAUACUUUGGUUUGCUCUUCCGGUGGCACCUCGAGUUUCCAUGGUUUUAUCUACUUUCUCUCAUCCUGAUUCUUUGUGACCAAAAAUAUGGUUUAGCAAGAUGACUAGCUACAGAGAAAACCUCACCUAUGCAUGCGAGAGCAGACCCAGGACGUCAGCUUUUCUGCACUACUCAAGUAAACAAGACAUAGAGAAAUAUUUGAGGACAGCAGGCCAGUGUGGAUACCAAUGGGUGCAUCUCAAAGCUGUAGCUACAAGAGAAAAUUGAAUGAUCUCCACAUCAUCCCAACGCACACUUUUGGGUCAGGAUUUUCCCCAAACGCUUUCUCCACUGCACCACCCUGACUCACAGUAAGAACUUCUUUUGACACCGUGGUCUAAAAGACUGAGGCUGUGACCAUGAGAAAAUUACUUAAUCUCUCUCAGCAGAUUUCCUCAUAAGCAAAAUGAGCAUGUAAUACCUACCUCUUAGGGAUGUUAUGAAAAGAAAAUCAAUCUAAGCGCCUAUAACAAGGCCUAGCACAGGGUAAAUGCUCAGUAAAUAUUGGCAAUUACUGCAUUUUUUUUUUUUUACCACUUCCAUUUUUCUUGGUUUCCUCUGCUUCUGUCAAUCUGGAUAAAAUAAUGAAUGACUACAGAGUUGCAUAUAUUAUUGACUCCUCUUUAUUUCGUAGAGCUAACUGUAUUCUCAAGAUAUUGGAAGUCUGUUUUUAAACUAUAAAAUAUCUCAGCUACUAGAUUCCUAGAAAAAUGUUUCUUCUCCAAAUUGCAUGGAAUUUUCUUCCUUGCAUGUCACUAUUCUUCAAAGCAUUUAGCAUUUUGGAGUGUUCCUUCUUUUUCCUUGCAAAGCCAACAAUCACAGCUGACCAGGACUUCAAUUCUUCAAUUGAUUCACGCAGGAUAAAAUGACCUGCCUGUGACUUGACGUUUUAUUUUAAACAGCUUGUGGUUGUGAUAGAACAAGAGGCCCAGACCAAAAAGGACUAGGAAUGCUUGCUCAGGUGCCAGUACCAUCGGCAGGUCAGGAAACACUCCCAUCCCACUGCCAUGUGAUUUCCUAUGAAACAGCGAUUUCCCUGAACACCAGAGCAAACUAUGCGAUGAUAAUGCUCCAAGCAGAUGUUUGGAGAAGAUGUGGGUUUUCACAGCUUAUGCUGUGAUCAAUAUAAUAAUGGUCCAUGCCUUUCACUUGCCCUAUCAAGGCCUUGAGUGGCAGCGAUGAUCUUGAGUAACUUUGCCUCACCUCAAGGAAAUAGCACUGGUUGGAGAACUUGAGAAAAGGGCCCAAAUAGUUUACCAGAAACUGGGACUUUCUCAUUUCCUGAGAGGUUUUUGAGAUUUGGUAAUAUGGCAAAUUUUCUAGUGACAGAGGUUUGGAAUACUUUUUCCUAUUUUCUUAAGGAAUGACAGUGUUUUCAGUUUUGAAACAGACUAACCCAAGGAAGAGAGAUUCUUGUGCUAAGCACAUACCAGCUACCUACUUCUCAAACCCAUUCCUAAAUUUGAAUACUUUCAGUGAGGCUGGGCUCUCCUAGGUGGUACCUGGACAAUGUUCUAUAACCUGAGUAUUGGGGAGCCACGGCUUUUGGCCCAUUUCAGGGCAAUACCAGGAGCAGGAGAAGCCACCAUAGGGAAUACUGAGACCACAAUAAUUAUGUGUUCACAAGGCAGUGAAACUGGCGACUUAUAACUAAUUUAUUGGCAACCACUUUCUAAAUAAAAUAUCCAAGUACCUGUCAACAGAAAUUAGUUAACAGGAAGCUAACCACUGAGUCUGUAGAUUGAACAGUGUAUUUUACAAAGAGUGUGUUAACCUAAGUUAUGUUAACUUAAAAACAAAUCUUGAGAAUUGAGGAAGAAUAAGGGAUAAACUGGGAUAAACUGGGAUCUUUC
rnacentral:lncRNA from 1 species